rnacentral:rRNA from 1 species
CCUACGGGAGGCAGCAGUAGGGAAUAUUGCUCAAUGGGGGAAACCCUGAAGCAGCAACGCCGCGUGGAGGAUGAAGGUUUUCGGAUUGUAAACUCCUUUUGUUAGGGAAGAUAAUGACGGUAUCUAACGAAUAAGCACCGGCUAACUCCGUGCCAGCAGCCGCGGUAAUACGGAGGGUGCAAGCGUUACUCGGAAUCACUGGGCGUAAAGAGCGCGUAGGCGGGAUAGCAAGUCAGAUGUGAAAUCCUAUGGCUUAACCAUAGAACUGCAUGUGAAACUGUUAUUCUAGAGUAUGGGAGAGGUAGGUGGAAUUCUUGGUGUAGGGGUAAAAUGCGUAGAGAUCAAGAGGAAUACUCAUUGCGAAGGCGACCUGCUAGAACAUAACUGACGCUGAUGCGCGAAAGCGUGGGGAGCAAACAGGAUUAGAUACCCCUGUAGUC